UAAGGCGAGGCCGAAAGGCGUAGUCGAUGGGAAACGGGUUAAUAUUCCCGUACUUGGUGUUACUGCGAAGGGGGGACGGAGAAGGCUAUGUUGGCCGGGCGACGGUUGUCCCGGUUUAAGCGUGUAGGUAUGUGUUCCAGGUAAAUCCGGUUCACUUUAACACUGAGGCGUGACGACGAGGCACUACGGUGCUGAAGCAACAAAUGCCCUGCUUCCAGGAAAAGCCUCUAAGCAUCAGGUAACAUCAAAUCGUACCCCAAACCGACACAGGUGGUCAGGUAGAGAAUACCAAGGCGCUUGAGAGAACUCGGGUGAAGGAACUAGGCAAAAUGGUGCCGUAACUUCGGGAGAAGGCACGCUGACACGUAGGUGAAGUGAUUUACUCACGGAGCUGAAGUCAGCCGAAGAUACCAGCUGGCUGCAACUGUUUAUUAAAAACACAGCACUGUGCAAACACGAAAGUGGACGUAUACGGUGUGACGCCUGCCCGGUGCCGGAAGGUUAAUUGAUGGGGUCAGCGCAAGCGAAGCUCCUGAUCGAAGCCCCGGUAAACGGCGGCCGUAACUAUAACGGUCCUAAGGUAGCGAAAUUCCUUGUCGGGUAAGUUCCGACCUGCACGAAUGGCGUAAUGAUGGCCAGGCUGUCUCCACCCGAGACUCAGUGAAAUUGAACUCGCUGUGAAGAUGCAGUGUACCCGCGGCAAGACGGAAAGACCCCGUGAACCUUUACUAUAGCUUGACACUGAACAUUGAGCCUUGAUGUGUAGGAUAGGUGGGAGGCUUUGAAGUGUGGACGCCAGUCUGCAUGGAGCCGACCUUGAAAUACCACCCUUUAAUGUUUGAUGUUCUAACGUGGACCCGUGAUCCGGGUUGCGGACAGUGUCUGGUGGGUAGUUUGACUGGGGCGGUCUCCUCCUAAAGAGUAACGGAGGAGCACGAAGGUUGGCUAAUCCUGGUCGGACAUCAGGAGGUUAGUGCAAUGGCAUAAGCCAGCUUGACUGCGAGCGUGACGGCGCGAGCAGGUGCGAAAGCAGGUCAUAGUGAUCCGGUGGUUCUGAAUGGAAGGGCCAUCGCUCAACGGAUAAAAGGUACUCCGGGGAUAACAGGCUGAUACCGCCCAAGAGUUCAUAUCGACGGCGGUGUUUGGCACCUCGAUGUCGGCUCAUCACAUCCUGGGGCUGAAGUAGGUCCCAAGGGUAUGGCUGUUCGCCAUUUAAAGUGGUACGCGAGCUGGGUUUAGAACGUCGUGAGACAGUUCGGUCCCUAUCUGCCGUGGGCGCUGGAGAACUGAGGGGGGCUGCUCCUAGUACGAGAGGACCGGAGUGGACGCAUCACUGGUGUUCGGGUUGUCAUGCCAAUGGCACUGCCCGGUAGCUAAAUGCGGAAGAGAUAAGUGCUGAAAGCAUCUAAGCACGAAACUUGCCCCGAGAUGAGUUCUCCCUGAGACUUUAGGUCUCCUGAAGGAACGUUGAAGACGACGACGUUGAUAGGCCGGGUGUGUAAGCGCAGCGAUGCGUUGAGCUAACCGGUACUAAUGAACCGUGAGGCUUAACCUUACAACGCCGAAG
rnacentral:rRNA from 1 species